UAGAAUUGCAAAUGCUCAGGCCUACACGU
rnacentral:piRNA from 1 species